rnacentral:rRNA from 1 species
AUACGGAGGGUGCAAGCGUUGUCCGGAUUUAUUGGGUUUAAAGGGUGCGUAGGAGGGCAGGAAAGUCAGUGGUGAAAUCCUAGGGCUUAACUCUAGAACUGCCGUUGAUACUACUUGUCUUGAAUAUCGUGGAGGUGAGCGGAAUAUGUCAUGUAGCGGUGAAAUGCUUAGAUAUGACAUAGAACACCAAUUGCGAAGGCAGCUCACUACACGAAUAUUGACUCUGAGGCACGAAAGCGUGGGGAUCAAAC